AACCUAAUAGCUAGCCUACUACCCUAAACCCAAUAAACCCCUAUCAAUACCCCCUAACAAACCUAAACCACCAAAUAUUAAACCAUUUUUCCCCCUAAGUAUGGGCGACAGAAAAGGAUAUACCCAGAGCUAUAGAAAAAGUACCGCAAGGGAAUGCUGAAAAAGAACUGAAAUAAACCAGUAAAGUUAAAAAAAGCAGAGACUUAUUCUCGUACCUUUUGCAUCAUGAUUUAGUUAGUAAAAACCAAGCAAAAAGCAUUUUAGUUUGAUUUCCCGAAACUAAGUGAGCUACUCCAAGACAGCCUAAAAACAAGGGCCAACCCGUCUCUGUGGCAAAAGAGUGGGACGAUCUUAGAGUAGUGGUGACAGACCUACCGAACUUAGUUAUAGCUGGUUGUCUGAGAAAUGAAUAGAAGUUCAGCUUUUUGGUUUCUUCCUCCCAACCUACUUUAGCCACAGCUGAUUCAAAGAAAUCAAAAAAGUUAAUUAAAGGGGGUACAGCCCCUUUAAACCAAGAUACAACUUCCUUAGAAAGGUAAAGAUCACAAUCAUCAAGGCAAAAUGUUCUAGUGGGCCUAAAAGCAGCCACCUACAAGAAAGCGUUAAAGCUCAGACAUAUCUACCAACCUACAAUUUAGAUAAACCAUCUAAGCCUACUAAUAUUACCAGACCGCCCCAUGCUGGCAUGGGGGUGAUUAUGCUAAUAUGAGUAAUAAGAAAGAUUAGUCUUUCUCCUUGCACCUGUGUAAAUCGAAACGGACUAACCAUCGAGCGUUACCGGCCCCAAUAAAAGAGGGAAAUGAGUCACAAGCCUACAAACAAGAAAAACACCCAAAAAAAACCGUUAACCCCACACUGGUGUGCUUACAAGGAAAGAUUUAAAGGAAAAGAAGGAACUCGGCAAACCUAAGCCUCGCCUGUUUACCAAAAACAUCGCCUCUUGCAAACAUAGUAUAAGAGGUCCCGCCUGCCCCGUGACAAAAGUUUAACGGCCGCGGUAUUUUGACCGUGCAAAGGUAGCGCAAUCACUUGUCUUUUAAAUGAAGACCUGUAUGAAUGGCAUAACGAGGGCUUAACUGUCUCCUUUUCCCAAUCAAUGAAAUUGAUCUCCCCGUGCAGAAGCGGGGAUAUAUACAUAAGACGAGAAGACCCUAUGGAGCUUUAGAUACCAAGACAGAUCUUGUUAAACACCUCAAAAUAACGAAAGAAACUAAAAGAAACCUGCCCUAAUAUCUUUGGUUGGGGCGACCGCGGGGAAAAAAAUAACCCCCAUGUGGACUGAGAAAAUAAAUCUCACAACCAAGAGCCACAGCUCUAGCUAGCAGAACUUCUGACCUUAAGAUCCGGCAAUGCCGAUCAACGGACCGAGUUACCCUAGGGAUAACAGCGCAAUCCUUUUUUAGAGUUCAUAUCGACAAAAGGGUUUACGACCUCGAUGUUGGAUCAGGACAUCCUAAUGGUGCAGCCGCUAUUAAGGGUUCGUUUGUUCAACGAUUAAAGUCCU
rnacentral:rRNA from 1 species